GAUGAACGCUAGCGGGAGGCCUAACACAUGCAAGCCGAGCGGUAGAGUUUCUUCGGAGACUUGAGAGCGGCGCACGGGUGCGUAACACGUGUGCAACCUACCUUUAUCUGGGGGAUAGCCUUUCGAAAGGAAGAUUAAUACCCCAUAAUAUAAUGAUUGGCAUCAAUUAUUAUUGAAAACUCCGGUGGAUAGAGAUGGGCACGCGCAAGAUUAGUUAGUUGGUGAGGUAACGGCUCACCAAGUCAAUGAUCUUUAGGGGUCCUGAGAGGGAGAUCCCCCACACUGGUACUGAGACACGGACCAGACUCCUACGGGAGGCAGCAGUGAGGAAUAUUGGACAAUGGGUGAGAGCCUGAUCCAGCCAUCCCGCGUGAAGGAUGACGGUCCUAUGGAGUGUAAACUUCUUUUGUACAGGGAUAAACCUAGCCGCGUGAGGGUAGCUGAAGGUACUGUACGAAUAAGAACCGGCUAACUCCGU
rnacentral:rRNA from 1 species